rnacentral:rRNA from 1 species
AACGAACGCUGGCGGCAUGCCUUACACAUGCAAGUCGAACGGCAGCACGGGAGCAAUCCUGGUGGCGAGUGGCGAACGGGUGAGUAAUAUAUCGGAACGUGCCCAGUCGUGGGGAUAACGUAGCGAAAGCUACGCUAAUACCGCAUACGAUCUACGGAUGAAAGCGGGGGAUCGCAAGACCUCGCGCGAUUGGAGCGGCCGAUAUCAGAUUAGGUAGUUGGUGAGGUAAAGGCUCACCAAGCCGACGAUCUGUAGCUGGUCUGAGAGGACGACCAGCCACACUGGGACUGAGACACGGCCCAGACUCCUACGGAGGCAGCAGUGGGGAAUUUUGGACAAUGGGCGCAAGCCUGAUCCAGCAAUGCCGCGUGCAGGAUGAAGGCCU